rnacentral:rRNA from 1 species
AGAUUGAACGCUGGCGGCAUGCCUUACACAUGCAAGUCGAACGGCAGCACGGGAGCAAUCCUGGUGGCGAGUGGCGAACGGGUGAGUAAUAUAUCGGAACGUGCCCAGUAAUGGGGGAUAGCCCGGCGAAAGCCGGAUUAAUACCGCAUACGACCUACGGGUGAAAGCGGGGGAUCGCAAGACCUCGCGUUAUUGGAGCGGCCGAUAUCAGAUUAGCUUGUUGGCGGGGUAAAAGCCCACCAAGGCGACGAUCUGUAGCUGGUCUGAGAGGACGACCAGCCACACUGGGACUGAGACACGGCCCAGACUCCUACGGGAGGCAGCAGUGGGGAAUUUGGACAAUGGGCGCAAGCCUGAUCCAGCCAUGCCGCGUGUGGGAAGAAGGCCGUUCGGGUUGUAAACCGACUUUUGUCAGGAGAAACGGACCUUACUAAUAAUUAGAGGCUAAGUGACGGUACCUGAAGAAUAAGCACCGGCUAACUACGUAGCCAGCAGCCGACGGUAAUCUAG